rnacentral:tRNA from 1 species
GCGGACGUGGCGAAACCGGUAGACGCAAGAGACUUAAAAUCUCUCGGAGCGAUCCGUGCGGGUUCGAUCCCCGCCGUCCGCA